GCAUAUCAAUAAGCGGAGGAAAAGAAACCAACAGGGAUUGCCUUAGUAGCGGCGAGUGAAGCGGCAAAAGCUCAAAUUUGAAAUCUGGCGCCUUCGGUGUCCGAGUUGUAAUUUGAAGAUUGUAACCUUGGGGUUGGCUCUUGUCUAUGUUUCUUGGAACAGGACGUCACAGAGGGUGAGAAUCCCGUGCGAUGAGAUGCCCAAUUCUAUGUAAGGUGCUUUCGAAGAGUCGAGAUGUGUUUGGGAAUGCAGCUCUAAGUGGGUGGUAAAUUCCAUCUAAAGCUAAAUAUUGGCGAGAGACCGAUAGCGAACAAGUACAGUGAUGGAAAGAUGAAAAGAACUUUGAAAAGAGAGUGAAAAAGUACGUGAAAUUGUUGAGAAAGGGAAGGGUUUGAGAUCAGACUCGAUAUUUUGUGAGCCUUGCCUUCGUGGCGGGGUGACCCGCAGCUUAUCGGGCCAGCAUCGGUUUGGGCGGUAGGAUAAUGGCGUAGGAAUGUGACUUUACUUCGGUGAAGUGUUAUAGCCUGCGUUGAUGCUGCCUGCCUAGACCGAGGACUGCGAUUUUAUCAAGGAUGCUGGCAUAAUGAUCCCAAACCGCCCGUCUUGAAACACGGACC
rnacentral:rRNA from 1 species